rnacentral:rRNA from 1 species
CAAGUCGAACGAGAAAGUGGAGCAAUCCAUGAGUAAAGUGGCGCACGGGUGAGUAACACGUGACUAACCUACCCUGGAGUGGGGGAUAACUGAGGGAAACCUUAGCUAAUACCGCAUAACACCUACGGGUCAAAGGAGCAAUUCGCUUCAGGAGGGGGUCGCGGCCGAUUAGUUAGUUGGCAGGGUAAUGGCCUACCAAGACGAUGAUCGGUAUCCGGCCUGAGAGGGCGCACGGACACACUGGAACUGAAACACGGUCCAGACUCCUACGGGAGGCAGCAGUGGGGAAUUUUGCGCAAUGGGGGAAACCCUGACGCAGCAACGCCGCGUGGAGGAUGAAGUCCUUCGGGACGUAAACUCCUUUCGAUCGGGACGAUUAUGACGGUACCGGAAGAAGAAGCCCCGGCUAACUUCGUGCCAGCAGCCGCGGUAAUACGAGGGGGGCGAGCGUUGUUCGGAAUUAUUGGGCGUAAAGGGUGCGUAGGCGGUUUGGUAAGUCUUAUGUGAAAUCUACAGGCUCAACUUGUAGUCUGCAUGAGAAACUGCCGGGCUUGAGUAUGGGAGAGGUGAGUGGAAUUCCUGGUGUAGCGGUGAAAUGCGUAGAUAUCAGGAGGAACACCUGUGGCGAAAGCGGCUCACUGGACCAUAACUGACGCUGAUGCACGAAAGCUAGGGGAGCAAACAGGAUUAGAUACCCUGGUAGUCCUAGCCCUAAACGAUGACUGCUUGGUGUGACGGGUACCCAAUCCCGCCGUGCCGUAGCUAACGCGUUAAGCAGUCCGCCUGGGGAGUACGGUCGCAAGGCUGAAACUCAAAGGAAUUGACGGGGGCCCGCACAAGCGGUGGA